rnacentral:lncRNA from 1 species
UUUUAUACAUACAUCUAAGAAACAUUAAUUUAAUAAUAGUUUCAUAUUAACAAGCAUCAACUUUUUUUCACGCUAUAAAGCUAACAAAUGAUUCCUAUUUCUAGAUACAUAAAAGAAAAAAUAUGGUUAAAGUUUAUAUGUUUAUUUAUACUAUGAUUUUCUUCUUUUCNNNNNNNNNNNNNNNNNNNNNNNNNNNNNNNNNNNNNNNNUGCUUUCAAACUUUAGUUUGAUAUAGUAUACUGGUAUUUCUAUACAAAAUUUAAUAUCAUGUUUUUAUAUUAAUUUAUAGGGUUAAAUAAAUAUUUUAUCCCUAUAAAUACAUCAAAUUUUUUCUUAGUUCCAACAAAAAAUUUCAGUAAAUUUUAAUCCUCAAAUCUCUUUCGUACAAUUUUGCGUCCCUGCUUUUAAGUCAACUCAUCUAUAUAUAGUUUUUCGUUUACAAUGGAGUGAUCCGUAAGAAUCAAAUUUAGAACUUUAUAUGCAUACUACUCAAACUUUUUACCACUAUAGAUCAAACCUAGUGGAUUCUCAACUCAUGUAUAUUACUUGAAAUUUUUAUUAUUUUAUGCAUUCAUGGUUAGUACAUUAUAUAAACCUCUCUGACAAAAAUAUAAAUUCCCUAUCAAUCUUUCAUAAGUUUUAAUGAGUUUUUAUAUUUAUAUUUAUAAUAAUAUAAACAUAUCUCCCUCCAAGAUUUAGUUUUUUACAACAUAAUGGAUGAAUUAGAUAUGAAUUUCUAAGAUUUUUGCGCAUAGAAAAAUCAUAUUUAAUUCAUUUAAUUUAAAAAAUUCUAAAUUAUUGUGAAAGAGAUU